CUAUGCGCCUUGCCAGCCCGCUCAGUCAGAGUUUGAUCCUGGCUCAGAUUGAACGCUGGCGGCAGGCCUAACACAUGCAAGUCGAGCGGAUGAGAGGAGCUUGCUCCUUGAUUUAGCGGCGGACGGGUGAGUAAUGCCUAGGAAUCUGCCUGGUAGUGGGGGAUAACGUUCCGAAAGGAACGCUAAUACCGCAUACGUCCUACGGGAGAAAGCAGGGGACCUUCGGGCCUUGCGCUAUCAGAUGAGCCUAGGUCGGAUUAGCUAGUUGGUGAGGUAAUGGCUCACCAAGCGACGAUCCGUAACUGGUCUGAGAGGAUGAUCAGUCACACUGGAACUGAGACACGGUCCAG
rnacentral:rRNA from 1 species